ensembl:processed_transcript growth arrest specific 5
AAGAAAGGUAAGCAUUGUAAGUUUGGUAUUUACUAUAUGAAUUAAGGUACUGUUAGUGAUGACCAAUAAAGUUAAACAGAUGGGAAUCUCUCUGAAUAAGAUUGAAGAUUGAUUGUUAAGCUGAAACAGUAUUUAAGAACAUCAGUAAAUAUACAAAUACAUAUUUAUUUCUAAACGGAGUGUAAUUUCUUACAGAUAUUACGCAUGGGUCACCUCAAGUGAAGGCGCUGCAAGCACAAUGAUUGGUCAUUCUGAAUUUCCCGUCCUUCAUUCUGAAUUUCAAAGUAAGUCGCAGUCACCUUGUUUUUGUACAGAUUGUAAUAUAGCUUGUAACCAGUGAUGUGAUGAUUCUGCCAAAUGAUACAAAGUGAUAUC